AAUUAAGUGAAGCUGAAUCUGAGGUACAAAGCCUCAGAACGGGGGAAACGUCACGUGGGGUGAAUCGCAGGAUAUUGCGUAGGGCAUACACCUUUUGCCCGAAUCCGUCAACUAACCUCGUAAGCAGGAAAGGUGGUCAAA
rnacentral:sRNA from 2 species